UAGGGAAUUUUCCACAAUGGACGAAAGUCUGAUGGAGCAACGCCGCGUGAACGAUGAAGGUCUUCGGAUUGUAAAGUUCUGUUGUCAGGGACGAACAAGUACCGUUUGAACAAGGCGGUACCUUGACGGUACCUGACGAGAAAGCCACGGCUAACUACGUGCCAGCAGCCGCGGUAAUACGUAGGUGGCAAGCGUUGUCCGGAAUUAUUGGGCGUAAAGCGCGCGCAGGCGGCUAUGUAAGUCUGGUGUUAAAGCCCGGGGCUCAACCCGCGUACGCAUCGGAAACUGUGUAGCUUGAGUGCAGAAGAGGAAAGCGGUAUUCCACGUGUAGCGGUGAAAUGCGUAGAGAUGUGGAGGAACACCAGUGGCGAAGGCGGCUUUCUGGUCUGUAACUGACGCUGAGGCGCGAAAGCGUGGGGGAGCAAACAGGAUUAGAUACCC
rnacentral:rRNA from 1 species